GGAGGUUCUUUUAGAACAAAAUAGAUCUCGGCUCACCAAAUUCCACAACCUGAAGGCAGUCGUCUGCAAGGCCUGCAUGAAGGAGAACAGACGCAUCACUGGCCGAGCCCACUGGGGCUCACACCACGCAGGUGGGAAAGGGCCAGGUGCCUCUAGAAGCCCCACAAGCGUAGACCCUAACUGCUUCCUGAGUUUUGUUGAUAAAUGAAUUCUAAGAAGAGGCUGAUAUAAUUGGAUGAACAGAAUAGAAUUUAAAUGAUAGGGCCGGGUGCGGUGGCUCACGCCUGUAAUCUCAGCACUUUGGGAGGCCGAGGCAGGCAGAUCACUUGAGGUCAGGAAUUCAAGACCAGCCUGGCCCACAUGGUGAAACCCCGUCUCUACUAAAAAUACAAAAAUGAACCGGGCGUGUUGGCGGGCGCCUGUAAUCCCAGCUACUUGGGAGGCUGAGGAAGGAGGAUCACUUGAACCUGGGAGGUGGAGGUUGCAGUGAGCCAAGAUCACGUCACUGCACUCCAGUCUAGGUGACAGAUCGAGACUCCAUCUC
rnacentral:lncRNA from 1 species